CACAGGGGUGCUGAUUUUCGGCUGAGAGCGCGGUUGCGUAACCCUUACACCUGAUCCGGAUAAUGCCGGCGGAGGAAGUUUGUUUUC
rnacentral:ncRNA from 1 species